UUGGUCACCUUAUACUAGAUACCUGUGGCCAUACUAAUUCUUCCUUUCCUGACCAUCAAUUAGCCCUUAUGGUCAAUAUGUGACAUUUUGAAACUUGAUUAUAUUUUCUCAAUUUGGAGGACUAGCACCUUUGGUUUGAGAGUUUGAUCAACCUUUUUCAGGGUUGCUCACCCACCCUUAGCGUCCACCUUUCACCAAACUCUCACUUGAGGCUCCAAAAAGUUGUAGCUUGAAGCAAUAGCCAUGUCUUGGUCAAGUCAUCUUGUCAGACAGGCUAAACCAAGUUGAGAGUAAUCAAUGGUCCUCAAACCCUUUGGCAAGUUAGGGGAUUGUCUACCUCAAGCUCGUGAAGACUUCCCUUGGUGACAUGGGUAGAUGAGAACAAUUGGUUCCAAUGACCAUGAACGUAGCUGAAGCAGGUGUUGUGGAGUUUGGUCAGACAUCAAUGACAACAAGGUCCAUUCAUUACAUCCCAGGCCAUCAAGUACAGUUUUGUCUUGUUGCUAGACUUCCAUAACUCUGGAAGAGUGCAACUUUCCCUCACUUACAUCUAAUUCAUAGGCAAUUCAAGACAUCACCCCAUGGGGUCAUUGGUCCUCUUUAAAAUGAAGGAUGAACAAUAGUACAAACCUUGUUUCCAUCCAAAUUGUCCCUAGAUUUCUCCAAACUUAGGAUGGAGAAGGAAAGUUGAAUGGAGUCUAACUGAAUCCCAGACAACUACCUGGUUCUGAGUCAGAGGAUUAUGAACUUGGAACUAGAAGAGGCCAAAGAAAUCAUCCAUCUUCAUCUUGUAAAUGGGAAAAAUAUAUAAAAACUAUAUAAAUGAAAACCAUCAGAGGUCAAGUGACUUGCCCAAAGUUCAUCAAAUAUAAAUGCAAAACUAGAAUUGAAACCUGGGAUUUCUGAUGACAAACCUGAUUCUCUUCCAUUGUAGCAUUUUGCUUCCUUAAUGUUAGGGAGCUGUGGCAUCUUUUACCUAGCAGGCAGAGAAGUUGCAUCUACAAAGUGACUGGAAACAAACCUCAAUUCUUCCAAAUGUUCCAAGCAUUAGUAGGCUGGAUAAGCCUAAACACAAGUGGCAAAAUUUAUUUGGAUUCAGGGACUGCAUUCAUGGAUAUUCAUCAGUCACUCUAAAUGUUCCUAUCUGUAUAUCCUUCCUAUAUCUUCAGGUGAAGGGGCUUCUCUGAAUGUUGAAAACUGUAAAUAAAUGUCAAUUAUUAUGUAUGCCUUAA